rnacentral:lncRNA from 1 species
GGUGGGGCUUAUGACUGGGGCGUGGUCUGGGCGGGGCUGGGGGGUAUUCCCAGGAAACUUCAAGCGUGGCUUCAAACGCGGCUGGAGAGCAAGGGAGACCCUGUCCGUGGACAGAACGCUGAACAGUGUCUGACCAUCGCGAUUGGGAUAGAAGCUUAAAGUAAAAGCAGACUUAAGUGGCAGAGGAAAAUACUGAGAGAACUGAAAGAAGACAGUAGGGUCCGGAUGUGGACACCCUAACCAAGAAAAGGAAGUGCACGAUAUAUUUUAAAUCUCAUUAUCUACUAAGGACUUCUGAAUCGUAUCUUUUCUGAUUGAUGCGCCUUUCCUUGAAGAUACUUCCUGCCCUUCUGUCUAGAACUUUGUCGGACACAGCUGGAUGUGUUUUCUACAGCUCAUAAGGGUCUUCCUAAGUUGCCCAGGCUGUCUUUGAACUU